rnacentral:RNase_P_RNA from 1 species
CGAGUCGGCCGGGCGACCGCGUCAACCUGGCAACAGGCUGCCGAGGAAAGUCCGGGCUCCACAGAGCAGGGUGGUUGUUAACGGCAACCCGGGGUGACCCGCGGGACAGUGCCACAGAAAGCAGACCGCCAGGCGAUCCGGGUUCGCCCGGGUCGCGGGUAAGGGUGAAACGGUGGUGUAAGAGACCACCAGCGUUCCGGGUGACCGGAGCGGCUAGGUAAACCCCACCCGGAGCAAGGUCAGGAUGACGUCCGGUUCGCCGGACGUCUGCGCAGGCGUUCGAGGGCUGCUCGCCCGAGCCUGCGGGUAGACCGCUGGAACCUGCCGGCGACGGCAGGUCGAGAUGGAUGGUCGCCACCGGGGCUCGCCCCGGAACAGGACCCGGCUUACAGGCUGACUCGUCCG